rnacentral:rRNA from 1 species
GACGAACGCUGGCGGCGUGCUUAACACAUGCAAGUCGAACGGAAAGGCCCUGCUUUUGUGGGGUGCUCGAGUGGCGAACGGGUGAGUAACACGUGAGUAACCUGCCCUUGACUUUGGGAUAACUUCAGGAAACUGGGGCUAAUACCGGAUAGGAGCUCCUGCUGCAUGGUGGGGGUUGGAAAGUUUCGGCGGUUGGGGAUGGACUCGCGGCUUAUCAGCUUGUUGGUGGGGUAGUGGCUUACCAAGGCUUUGACGGGUAGCCGGCCUGAGAGGGUGACCGGCCACAUUGGGACUGAGAUACGGACCAGACUCCUACGGGAGGCAGCAGUGGGGAAUAUUGCACAAUGGGCGGGAGCCUGAUGCAGCAACGCCGCGUGCGGGAUGACGGCCUUCGGGUUGUAAACCGCUUUCGCCUGUGACGAAGCGUGAGUGACGGUAAUGGGUAAAGAAGCACCGGCUAACUACGUG